rnacentral:snRNA from 1 species
AUUCCUUCUCGGCCUUUUGUCUAAGAUCAAGUGUAGUUUCUGUUCUUAUCAGUUUAAUAUCUGAUAUGUCUUCUAUUCGGGGACCAUAUAUUAAAUUGAUUCUUAGAACAAGGAAAUGGAAUAGGGUCUUGCUUCGUCCACUCCACGCAUCGACCUGGUGUUUACAGAAUUUCCAGGACCGGUACACUCACU